UACAGAGGUCUCAAGCGUUGUUCGGAUUCAUUGGGCGUAAAGGGUGCGUAGGCGGCGCGGUAAGUCGGGUGUGAAAUCUCGGGGCUUAACUCCGAAACUGCAUUCGAUACUGCGUGCUUGAGGACUGGAGAGGAGACUGGAAUUAGGUGUAGCGGUGAAAUGCGUAGAUAUCAUGAGGAAGACCAGUGGCGAAGGCGGGUCUCUGGGCAGUAACUGACGCUGAGGAGCGAAAGCGUGGGGAGCGAACAGG
rnacentral:rRNA from 1 species